rnacentral:snRNA from 1 species
UUGCUCUGCGAGGUAAAGCAGAAGGAGCAGCACAGAUACUGAAACUGGAAUAAGACAGGAAAGGUCAGAAAGGCCCUUGCGCAAGAAUGACAGAAAAUAUUGUGAAAUAUUCCAUAUUUCC